GAUGCGGCUGCCGGAGCUGUGCCUGGCGCUGCUCUGCGCCGCCGGUUCCGCGGGGGCGGCCCGGGAGGGGUCGUCGGGCCCGGGAGCAGUCGCGGGGAGGGAGGCGGAGGCGGGACGCGGGGGGCCGGGGGCGGCCACCCUCCGGGCCGGCGGCGUGGACCCCCGUCAGGCGUGGCUGCUGCUGGCUGGGAGCUCCGGGCGAGGGAGCCGCAGCCGGGACCGGGGCAGGACGGGCACGAUGCGGGACGGGACGGGGGCUGGCGCAGCUCCGGUAACCGGAGGCCAAUCUCCGGGACAACCGGCCCAGGCUGCCCUGCAAGUCGGUGUGCCGGGCGCUGCCCCUGCCCUCCCCGGGGCCCCCGCCGUGCUGGAAGAGCUGCUGAGGGAGCUGCACCUCCUGCUGAAAGGCAUGGUGAAGGAGCAGGCGAAGACGCGCAGGAAGGCCUGGGAAGGCCGUGAGGAAGAGGAGGAAAGCGGUGAAGGCAACCUACAGGCCAGGUCCCACCGUCGCGUGGAAGCCGCCUUCCACUGUCGGACACGCGAAAACAUCUCCGUCGAGCAGAGAGGGCGGCAGGAGCUGCAGCUCUACUACAUCCCGGAGAGGGAGGGGAUGUUCCACCGUGGCUCGGGGCUGAACCUGACCAGUGGGCAGUACACAGCCCCCAUCACAGGGUACUACACCUUCACGGCCACGCUGCACAUCGUGCGCAGAGAGCAGCAGAGGAAGGGGCAGCCGCGCAGGGGGAAUCAUCUGCGGCUGCUGAUCUGCGUGCAGUCCCACUGCCAGCACAACAGCAAUCUGGAGACUGUGUCCCAGCUGGAGAGUGGCAGUGACCUUUUCACCAUCUCCGUUACCGGAGUCCUUUACCUGCAGAUGGGCAGCAGCAUCCUGGCAGAGACGAGGCCUCUGCAGCUCCUGCCCAGCUGAGGAGCUCAUCCUGGGCAGCAUCUCCCAGUUACCAUGCAUGACCAUGAGCCAAGGCAGUCUCGGUCAGAUCAGCCACCGUCCCUUCCUACCAAACACACCCAAGAAGAUACAAAAGGACUCACUGUUGGAGAGUGGGGCUUGCCGAGCUGAUGCGGCUUUCAAGAGCAGAAGCAGCAGAGCGUGUUACUAAUACGGGCAAUUCCCUCUCAGCUCACCCUGCAGUGUAACCUUACAUCAGAGUACACAGGAAUGGCUGGGAGCAGAACAAGCUGGUGGAGGUGCGCGCGUGCGCGCGCUACCCAAAAUAUGUGCCAGAGGCGUGCUUCCUUCCUCAGUGCUCUGCAGAAGAUGCGGAAAGCUAGUGCGAGCUAGGCCGUAACUCCGCCUGUGAACUGACUUCUACUGUAGCACAAAUAGAUGAAAGAAGUCAAGUCACCUGUCCCAAACAACAGGACAGCUUUUGCGUGCUCAAGAAAACGGAUAGCCCAGGAUCCAAGACCAUCUCCCAAAGCUCCAGAAAACACAGGGAACGGAAAAGAGCUGGGGAAGCCUCACAACCCUGCACAGGACUAUGCACAAAAUGGCAGGCACCACUGCCACCAACCUACCCAACCUCUCUCUGGGACUGCACCGUUUCUCAUGCAGAGUGAGGAGGCUGCGCAAGAAACCACUGCACAGACCCACUGGCUCAUCUCCCUCACUGCACUGU